rfam:Glycine soja cultivar W05 scaffold5673_5, whole genome shotgun sequence.
GUAAUGUUUCUUGCUCAAAUGAGUAUUCCAACCACAGUCACAUUUGGCAUGAAUAUUGUGUGCCACUGUCCUCAAAGGAUGAGAUGCUCAUUUGACCAAGCAAUGUUAA